GACGAACGCUGGCGGCGUGCCUAAUACAUGCAAGUGGGACGCAAGGGAACACACUGUGCUUGCACACCGUGUUUUCUUGAGUCGCGAACGGGUGAGUAACGCGUAGGUAACCUGCCUAUUAGCGGGGGAUAACUAUUGGAAACGAUAGCUAAUACCGCAUAACAGUAGAUAUUGCAUGAUAUCUGCUUGAAAGGUGCAAAUGCAUCACUACCAGAUGGACCUGCGUUGUAUUAGCUAGUUGGUGAGGUAACGGCUCACCAAGGCGACGAUACAUAGCCGACCUGAGAGGGUGAUCGGCCACACUGGGACUGAGACACGGCCCAGACUCCUACGGGAGGCAGCAGUAGGGAAUCUUCGGCAAUGGACGGAAGUCUGACCGAGCAACGCCGCGUGAGUGAAGAAGGUUUUCGGAUCGUAAAGCUCUGUUGUAAGAGAAGAACGAGUGUGAGAGUGGAAAGUUCACACUGUGACGGUAUCUUACCAGAAAGGGACGGCUAACUACGUGCCAGCAGCCGCGGUAAUACGUAGGUCCCGAGCGUUGUCCGGAUUUAUUGGGCGUAAAGCGAGCGCAGGCGGUUAGAUAAGUCUGAAGUUAAAGGCUGUGGCUUAACCAUAGUACGCUUUGGAAACUGUUUAACUUGAGUGCAAGAGGGGAGAGUGGAAUUCCAUGUGUAGCGGUGAAAUGCGUAGAUAUAUGGAGGAACACCGGUGGCGAAAGCGGCUCUCUGGCUUGUAACUGACGCUGAGGCUCGAAAGCGUGGGGGAGCAAACAGG
rnacentral:rRNA from 1 species